GAUGAAGAACGUAGCGAAAUGCGAUAAGUAAUGUGAAUUGCAGAAUUCAGUGAAUCAUCGAAUCUUUGAACGCACAUUGCGCCCCCUGGCAUUCCGGGGGGCAUGCCUGUCCGAGCGUCAUUACAACCCUCAAGCUCAGCUUGGUGUUGGGCCCCGCCGCCCCGGCGGGCCCUAAAGUCAGUGGUGGUGCCGUCCGGCUCCGAGCGUAGUAAUUCUUCUCGCUCUGGAGGUCCGGUCGCGUGCUCGCCAGCAACCCCCAAUUUUUUUCAGGUUGACCUCGGAUCAGGUAGGGAUACCCGCUGAACUUAAGCAUAUCAAUAAGCGGAGGA
rnacentral:misc_RNA from 1 species